UUCAUUAGAGCUGCUUCAUUGGUGCUUUCAACUUUCGUUCGAACUCUGAUUACAGGAUGGCUACUACUAUUGAUUUAACCUCCAAUUCAGAAUUCAUGCGGCUCCAAAACCUGCAGAUGGCACAAAUUAAAAAAAUGAAUGAACUAAGAACAGGAUUAACAGCAAUGUCUUGGAAUUGGGAAAACAAAUAUCUGAUUUAGCCAUGAGUAUCAACAAAAAUAAAGAGCCAGACAAAGAAAAUAUACAAAAUAAACAAUAGUUCAAGCUCACAUCACAAUACAAUCCUCAACAAGGUCACCAAUCUGUGGUUGACUUGGAUAAUCCCCCAUAUGCAGCAAGUAUUAUGAAUGAUGAAUCCUACACACCUGCCAAGCACAUUAAGGUGGAUAUGCCGAGGCUUGAUGGAACAAAUGCGGAAGGUUGGCUAUUUUCAGUAUGGAGGUAUUUUAUUUUUAAUAAAAUCUCCGAGGAUCAAAAAUUACUAAUAGUAUCUUUUCACUUGGAUGGGAUUGCGAAGAAAUGGUUUGCGUGGCUAGAGGCCAGCAACAUGCUUUCUUCAUGGAAAAAUUUUGUGGACGCAGUUAUAAGGAAGUUCACAACAUGGCACUACUCCCUUCCGGGAGGCAAAUUAAGUAAAUUGUGCUAAGAGGGUACUGUUGCUGAAUAUCAAUUGCUAUUUGAAGAACUAUGCACCAGAGUAAUAGGACUGCCAGAUUAUUUCAUAUUAGAGAUGUACAUCUCUGGACUGAAAGAAGAAAUCCAAUCAGAAGUGUGUCGUGAUAAACCUACUGAUACCCACAAAGCUUUUGAAAUUUCUCUAAGAGUGGAAGCAAAGAUGAUGGGCAGCAAAGGAAAUGCUUACAAACCCUAUAUCCCAAAACAAUCAAAAUUUAGUAAUCCUCCUACAACAUUCACACCAAAAGUCAGCAAUAAUACUACUCAGAUUGGAGCCCAAACAGCAACAAAAUUCAACAACUCUAAUGCACCAGUAUUCAAAAGACUAACACCUACUGAAAGAAAAGAGAGGACAGCCAAAGGCCUCUGUUUUAACUGCGAUGACAAGUUUGCUCCUGGUCAUAAAUGCAAGGGCAUAAUUUUCAGAAUGGCUGCGGAUGAAUCAUAUUUUUGGGAGGUAGAGGAAGAAGAAAAUGCUGAGGAUAUUGCUACUGAGGAAAUAACAGAGGAUAUGGUACAGGGAGACCCAACUGAAAUCAUCUUUCAUGCAUUUGAAGUCCAUAUAAAUUCAAACACAAUUAGAUUGAGCGGGUACAUCAAAUGCCAAUGUGUAAGUGUCCUAGUAGACACGGGGUCCACCCAUAAUUUUAUGCAAGUUGAGGUAGCUGCUGCUCUGAAAUUAACUAUCCAUGUGAUUAUACCAUUCAAAGUGUCUACGGGGAGUGGCGAGAAAUUGAUUUGUGACAAGGUUUGUAAGGAUGUCGAAAUUAAUAUUCAAGGGACUGUUAUAAAAAUGGAUAUAUUCCUUCUACCCAUAGCUGGUUCUAAUAUGGUCAUUGGUAUUCAAGGAUUAAAAACUCUGGGGCCGGUCACAUUUGAUUUUGAAAUUUUUUGGAUGAAAUUCGAAAUUGAGGGGCAAACAGUACAAUGGGAUGGAAGUCCUUGGAUCUCUAAAGAUCCAUUAUCAAUGGGACAACUAAAAUGUCUUGUAGCUACCACUCAAGAAGCAUACCUAUGCUAUAUGACAAAAAUUGAAGAAGAUAAAGAAACUCCAAUUCUGAAUUCAGGCAGCAAUGAACUCAUUCCAGUAAUUCAAAAAUUCAGCGACAUAUUUGAAGCUCUUGAGGGGUUACCACCACAGAGAGAAAGGGACCAUCACAUCCAUAUUUUGCCAAAUUCUGGUCCUGUUAACGUCAGACUAUAUCGAUAUCCUCAAUUCCAGAAAACAGAGAUAGAGAAGUUGAUUUCUGAAAUGCUAAAUCAGCAAAUUAUAAAACCAAGCACCAGUCCUUAUUCAUCUCCUGUUUUACUAGUGAAGAAAAAAGAUGGAGGUUACCGCUUAUGUGUGGAUUAUAGAGCUCUAAAUGCGCUCACUAUUAAAGAUAAAUUCCCUAUACCGACUGUGGAUUUAAGAUCGGGUUUCCACCAAAUUAGGGUGCACCCUCCCCAUAUAGAGAAGACUGCAUUCAGGGCACAUCAGGGUCAUUUUGAGUUCCUUGUAAUGCCAUUUGGCCUUACAAAUGCACCCGUUAUAUUUCAAUCUGUGAUGAAUAGUGUUUUUGUUAAAUAUCUGAGAAAAUUUGUGAUUAUAUUCUUUGAUGAUAUUCUGGUGUACAGUCCUUCUCUAAAGGAGUAUAUUCAUCAUCUCAAGGUGGUUUUCAGAACUUUGAGAGAGAAUAAAGUUGGCCAAACUAUUUAAGUGCUCGUUUGGACAAAAUUCUAUGAGGUUCCUAGGACAUAUCAUAGCAGUUGAUGGUAUCCAUCCCGAUCCAGAAAAGAUAAAAGCAAUGGUUGAAUGGAAAAUUCCAAAAAAUAUUAGAAUGUUGAGGGGAUUCUUGGGACUCACAGGUUCCUAUAGGAGAUUUAUCAAAAGUUAUGCUCAGAUAGCAUCUCCCAUGACUGACUUGUUAAAAAAGGAAUGUUUCCAUUGGGAUGAGAGAGCUACUACAAGUUUUGAGAAGUUGAAGGAAGCUAUGACUUCAUCUCCUAUUUUAGGGUUUCCUGAUUUUACAAAACAAUUUAUUGUGGAAACUGACGCUUGUAAUACAGGUAUAGGAGCGGUACUAGUUCAAGAAAAGCAUCCUAUUUCAUAUUAUAGUUGCAAACUAUCCGGGAGGAUGAGGGCAACCUCAGUCUAUGUUAAAGAGAUGUUUGCCAUCACACAGGCAGUUAGUAAAUAGCGACACUAUUUAUUGGGAGCUCACUUUCUGAUCAAGACAUACCACAAAAGUCUGAAAAAUUUGCUCACUCAAACUAUCCAAACUCCUGAACAACAGGUCUUCUUGUGCAAGCUAUUAGGGUUUAAUUUCACUAUUUUUUAUAAACCCGGCAAGGAAAAUAUUGUUUCUGAUUCCUUGUCCAGAUCAUUCGAAGAGGAGGAGGAAGAAGUCUUAUACUCUCGUAAUUCUACAGGAGUUGUAGGAUCACUAUUGGCCUUAUCUAACCCUAUAAAUUCUCUAAUUUCAGAUGUUCAGAAAGAAUGCUCAGAUAAUGCAUAUCUAAAAGAGAAAUUCCAGUAACAAUUUGAAAAGGGUCAGAGCAAAGAAGGAUUUUAUAUAAAAAAUCAGAUUUUAUAUUUUAAGGGGAGGUAUGUUCUUAAUAUAGAUUCUAUGCUUAUUCACAAGAUUUUAUGGGAAGUACAUGAUGCAUUUCUAGGAGGUCAUACUGGGGUUUAUAGAACUCUGAAAAGAAUCACCAAAUAUUUUUAUUGGCCAAAGAUGAGAAUAAGGAUAUCUGAUUAUGUAAGAGAUUGCCUCAUUUGUCAACAGAUGAAACCCCCAAAUCAGAAGCCAUCUGGCUUAUUAAUGCCUCUGCCUAUACCAUCUGAGGUAUGGAAAGAUAUUACAAUGGAUUUCAUUACAGACUUGCCUAAGGUGAAGGGCAAAACAGUAAUAAUGGUGGUAGUAGAUAGGCUUUCUAAAUACUCCCAUUUCAGCCCAUUACCCUCUGAUUUUAAUGCAGUCAAAGUUGCUGAAGUAUUUGUAAAGGAUUUGAUUAAGUUACAUGGUAUACCUUCAUCAAUAGUAUCGGACAGAGACAAAAAUUUUACCUCUAAAUUUUGGAAGGAAUUACAUCGUUUGAGUGGCACCAAACUAACCUUUUCCUCUGCAUAUCAUCCAGAGAUUGAUGGUCAAACGGAGGUAGUAAACAGGACAUUGGAAAUGUAUUAUUUGAGAUCCUAUUGUCAUGAUAACCCUAGAAGGUGGCUCCAAGUCUUGCCUUGGGAAAAAUUGUGGUAUAACACUAGUUACCACUAGAGUAUCAAAAUGACUCCCUACAAGGUUCUAUAUGGGAAAGAGGCAGCUGAACUACCUCACUACAAUGAAGGUACCUCUUCUAUCAAGGUUGUGGAUAGUGAACUUCAGAUCAGAGAAGACACAUUAGAAAUGCUUAAGAUUAAUAUGGAAAAAGCUCAGACUAGAAUGAAGAACCAAGCUGGUAAAGGAAGGAAAGAAUAUUCAUACUGUGAAGGACAGUGGGUAUUAGUUAAACUCCACCCCUACAAGCAAAUUUCAGCUACUAAUAGACUCCACAACAAGUUGAGCCAGCGCUAUUUCGGACUGGUGAUACAGUAUCCCGAACCCGGUCACAAUCUACCAGCAACUAGAAGUCCGGAUAGCCUAAGAUGAGUUAAGGUACCUAUUCUAGGGUUGGGGAGGUCCCAAGUCGAAUCCUAGGAAGAUCGACUUUCCUAAGGAUCGACUUCCUUGAGAUCGACUUUUGAGAAAAGUCGAUCCCAGGAAAGUCGAUCCCAAGAAAGUCGACUUUGGGUCCCGAUUUGAUCAGUUAGGCAGUUAGGCGGUUACUGCCCAAAUGACCAGAUUACCCCCAUAAGAACCCCUAUAAAUAGAGGGCACCCCCCACUCAUUGGAGAAAAGUCAUUUGGAGUAGAAGAAUUCCUAGCGAAGCAGAGCUCAGCACACUUGAGUUCCGGUCCGGUUUCCCACGGAGUUCCCCGCUUGGCGCUUGCUUGCGCGUCUUGGAUUACUAGUCGGGUUUCACCCCCAUCACGGACCAUUCCAGAUCACAAGAAAAAUCAACGAAGUUGCAUACCAAUUAAAAUUGCCAGAAGGCAGUAGGAUUCACAAUACCUUCCAUAUUUCCAAGCUGAAAACCUUCUGCGGACCCAUCCCAGAGACAUGAGCUCAAAUCGAUCCAGUGGUGGCGAUUGACAACCAACCUAUAAUAUAUCCAGUUGCAAUAUUAGAUUCGAGAAAUAUUUUGUAGAGAAAACAGAGGAACAAACAAUACCUGGUGAAAUGGAAUGGCGCAAUGCAGGAAGACGCGUCGUGGGAGGACGUCGAGAUGCUGAAAGCUUUUUUCCAUCUUUAGACCUUGAGGACAAGGUCGUUCCUGAAGGAUUGAGAGAUGAUACAUAUUGGGUCGAUUUUGGCGCGAUUACAGAAGAUCUGGACGUUAUUCAAACAGGUGCAAGCGAAACACUAGAUUCUAAUUUGGGGAAGGACGAGGGUUCACAGCAGUUGGAGGAGAAGAACCCGUCUAACCGCUCCAGGCCGAAGAGGAAGAAGAACCGACCUGCCC
rnacentral:lncRNA from 1 species